rnacentral:tRNA from 1 species
GACGGGUUAGCUCAGUUGGUUAGAGCAUGGUGCUAAUAACACCAAGGUUAUAUAUAUAUAUAUAUAUGUGUAUAUAUAUAUAUAUCA